rnacentral:rRNA from 1 species
GACGAACGCUGGCGGCGUGCUUAACACAUGCAAGUCGAACGGAAAGGCCCUGCUUUUGUGGGGUGCUCGAGUGGCGAACGGGUGAGUAACACGUGAGUAACCUGCCCUUGACUUUGGGAUAACUUCAGGAAACUGGGGCUAAUACCGGAUAGGAGCUCCUGCUGCAUGGUGGGGGUUGGAAAGUUUCGGCGGUUGGGGAUGGACUCGCGGCUUAUCAGCUUGUUGGUGGGGUAGUGGCUUACCAAGGCGUUGACGGGUAGCCGGCCUGAGAGGGUGACCGGCCACAGUGGGACUGAGAUACGGACCAGACUCCUACGGGAGGCAGCAGUGGGGAAUAUUGCACAAUGGGCGGAAGCCUGAUGCAGCAACGCCGCGUGCGGGAUGACGGCCUUCGGGUUGUAAACCGCUUUCGCCUGUGACGAAGCGGGAGUGACGGUAAUGGGUAAAGAAGCACCGGCUAACUACGUG